UACAGAGGGUGCAAGCGUUAAUCGGAAUUACUGGGCGUAAAGCGUGCGUAGACGGUUAUGUAAGUCAGGUGUGAAAGCCCCGGGCUACCAACCUGGGAAUUGCAUUUGAGACUUGCAUGGCUAGGGUGCGGAAGAGGGAAGCGGAAUUUCCGGUGUAGCGGUGAAAUGCGUAGAUAUACGGAAGGAACAUCAGUGGGCGAAAGGCGGA
rnacentral:rRNA from 1 species